GACGAACGCUGGCGGCGUGCUUAACACAUGCAAGUCGAACGGAAAGGCCCUGCUUUUGCGGGGUGCUCGAUUGGCGAACGGGUGAGUAAAACGUGAGUAACCUGCCCUUGACUUUGGGAUAACUUCAGGAAACUGGGGCUCAUACCGGAUAGAAUCUCCUGCUGCACGGUGGUGGUUGGAAAGUUUCGGCGGUUGGGGAUGGAUUGGCGGCUUAUGCGCUUGUUGGUGGGGUAGUGGUUUACCAAGGCUUUGACGGGUAGCCGGCCUGAGAGGGUGGACAGCCUCAUGGGUACUGAGAGACGGCGCAGACUGCUACGGGAGGCAGUAGUGGGAAAUAUUGCGGAGUGGGCGGAAGCCAGAUGCAGCAACGCCGCGUGCGGGAUGAUGGCUUUCGGGUUGUAAACCUCUUUCGACGGUGACGAAGCGUGAGUGACGGUAAUGAGUAAAGAAGCACCGGCUAACUACGUG
rnacentral:rRNA from 1 species